rnacentral:rRNA from 1 species
UGAAGCCCUUCGGGGUGGAUUAGUGGCGAACGGGUGAGUAACACGUGGGCAAUCUGCCCUUCACUCUGGGACAAGCCCUGGAAACGGGGUCUAAUACCGGAUACGACUCGGGAAGGCAUCUUCUCGGGUGGAAAGCUCCGGCGGUGAAGGAUGAGCCCGCGGCCUAUCAGCUUGUUGGUGGGGUAACGGCCCACCAAGGCGACGACGGGUAGCCGGCCUGAGAGGGCGACCGGCCACACUGGGACUGAGACACGGCCCAGACUCCUACGGGAGGCAGCAGUGGGGAAUAUUGCACAAUGGGCGCAAGCCUGAUGCAGCGACGCCGCGUGAGGGAUGACGGCCUUCGGGUUGUAAACCUCUUUCAGCAGGGAAGAAGCGCAAGUGACGGUACCUGCAGAAGAAGCGCCGGCUAACUACGUGCCAGCAGCCGCGGUAAUACGUAGGGCGCAAGCGUUGUCCGGAAUUAUUGGGCGUAAAGAGCUCGUAGGCGGCUUGUCACGUCGGGUGUGAAAGCCCGGGGCUUAACCCCGGGUCUGCAUCCGAUACGGGCAGGCUAGAGUGUGGUAGGGGAGAUCGGAAUUCCUGGUGUAGCGGUGAAAUGCGCAGAUAUCAGGAGGAACACCGGUGGCGAAGGCGGAUCUCUGGGCCAUUACUGACGCUGAGGAGCGAAAGCGUGGGGAGCGAACAGGAUUAGAUACCCUGGUAGUCCACGCCGUAAACGUUGGGAACUAGGUGUUGGCGACAUUCCACGUCGUCGGUGCCGCAGCUAACGCAUUAAGUUCCCCGCCUGG